rnacentral:rRNA from 1 species
UACGAAGGGGGCUAGCGUUGUUCGGAAUUACUGGGCGUAAAGCGUGCGUAGGCGGUGAUCUUUGUCAGAGGUGAAAUCCCGGGGCUCAACUCCGGAAUUGCCUUUGAAACGGGAUCGCUUGAGUCCGAGAGAGGAUGGCGGAAUUCCUAGUGUAGAGGUGAAAUUCGUAGAUAUUAGGAAGAACACCGGUGGCGAAGGCGGCCAUCUGGCUCGGUACUGACGCUGAGGCACGAAAGUGUGGGGAUCAAACAGG